AAAAACAUGGCUUUUUGAGUUUAAUUUAAGGUCUGGCCUGCCCAAUGAGUUUUAAAUGGCCGCAGUAUCUUGACUGUGCAAAGGUAGCAUAAUCAUUAGUUUUUUAAUUGAAAGCUGGAAUGAAAGGUCGGAUGAGAAAAUAGCUGUCUCUAUAAAAAUUAAUUAGAAUUUUAUUUUUAAGUUAAAAAGCUUAAAUUUACAUAGAAGACGAGAAGACCCUAUAGAGUUUUAUAAAAAAUUAAAUUAAGGUUUAUUAGUAUUUUAAUAAAUUAAUUUGAUGGCUUAUUUAGUUGGGGUGAUUGAAAAAUUAAAUAAACUUUUUUUUUAUUAUUACAUUUAUUUAUGAGUAUUUGAUCCUUAAAUAAAGAUUAUAAGAUUAAAUUACCUUAGGGAUAACAGCGUAAUUUUUUUUGAGAGUUCAUAUCGAAAAAAAAGAUUGCGACCUCGAUGUUGGAUUAAAAUAAAUAUUUGGUGUAGAAGCUAAAUUAAUUGGGUCUGUUCGACCCUUAAAAUUUUACUUGAUCUGAGUU
rnacentral:rRNA from 1 species